rnacentral:rRNA from 1 species
GGUAUGGGAUGAGCUUGCGUCCGAUUAGCUAGUUGGCGGGGCAACGGCCCACCAAGGCGACGAUCGGUAGCCGGCCUGAGAGGGUGAUCGGCCACAUUGGGACUGAGAUACGGCCCAGACUCCUACGGGAGGCAGCAGUAGGGAAUAUUGCACAAUGGGGGAAACCCUGACGCAGCAACGCCACGUGUGGGAAGAAGCAUUUCGGUGUGUAAACCACUGUCAUGAGGGAAUAAGGCCCUUAUUCGUAAGGGAUUGAAUGUACCUUGAGAGGAAGCACCGGCAAACUUCGUGCCAGCAGCCGCGGUAAUACGAGGGGUGCAAGCGUCGUUCGGAAUUACUGGGCGUAAAGGGAGCGUAGGCGGAGAUUCAAGCGGAUUGUACAAUCCCGGGGCCCAACCCCGGCUCUGCAGUCCGAACUGGAUCUCUUGGAUAGUUCAGGGGCAGGC